rnacentral:guide_RNA from 1 species
UUUAUUGAUUCAGUCAAAAUAUAAAAGUAAAAUUAAAUUA